rnacentral:misc_RNA from 1 species
UCCAGCUUAUCACCGGCAGUCCCUUUAGAGUGCCCAACUAAAUGAUGGCAACUAAAGGCGAGGGUUGCGCUCGUUGCGGGACUUAACCCAACAUCUCACGGCACGAGCUGACGACAGCCAUGCACCACCUGUGCAGGCUCCGAAGAGCACCCGCUUUCACGGGUUUCACCCUGCAUGUCAAGCCCAGGUAAGGUUCUUCGCGUCGCAUCGAAUUAAGCUGCAUGCUCCGCCGCUUGUGCGGGCCCCCGUCAAUUCCUUUGAGUUUCAGCCUUGCGGCCGUACUCCCCAGGCGGGGCACUUACUGCGUUAGCGACGGCACUCAGAGGGUCGCUCCCCCAAGCACCUAGUGCCCAUCGUUUACGGCGUGGACUAC